rnacentral:rRNA from 1 species
AACGAACGCUGGCGGCGCGCCUAACACAUGCAAGUCGAGCGAUUAAAGCUCCUUCGGGAGUAUAUAAAGCGGCGGACGGGGGAGUAAGGCAUAGACAACCUGCCCUAAAGAGGGGGAUAGCUUGGAGAAAUUCGGGUUAAUACCGCGUAAGCUGUUGAGUGAUUAUCAACCAGUAAAGGCUUCGGCCGCUUUGGGAUGGGUCUAUGUUAGAUUAGAUAGUUGGUGGGGUAAUGGCCUACCAAGUCGACGAUCUAUAGCUGGUCUGAGAGGAUGAUCAGUCACACUGGAACUGAGACACGGUCCAGACUCCUACGGGAGGCAGCAGUGAGGAAUUUUGCGCAAUGGGCGAAAGCCUGACGCAGCGACGCCGCGUGGAGGACGAAGUCUCUCGAGAUGUAAACUCCUGUCAGUGGGGAUGAUAAUGACAGUACCCACAGAGGAAGCACCGGCUAACUCCGUGCCAGCAGCCGCGGUAAGACGGAGGGUGCAAGCGUUGUUCGGGAUUACUGGGCGUAAAGCGUACGUAGGCGGCGGAUUAAGUCAGUGGUGAAAUCUUGCCGCUUAACGGUAAAAUUGCCAUUGAUACUGGAGUUCUUGAAUAUGGUUGAGGUAGGCGGAAUGUGUAAUGUAGCGGUGAAAUGCUUAGAUAUUACACAGAACACCGAUUGCGAAGGCAGCUUACUAAGCUAUUACUGACGCUGAUGCACGAAAACGUGGGGGAGCGAACAGGAUUAGAUACCCUGGUAGUCCACGCCGUAAACGAUGUUCACUCGCUGUUUGCGAUACACAGUAAGCGGCUGAGCGAAAGCAUUAAGUAAUCCACCUGGGGAGUACGUUCGCAAGAAUGAAACUCAAAGGAAUUGACGGGGGCCCGCACAAGCGGAGGAACAUGUGGUUUAAUUCGAUGAUACGCGAGGAACCUUACCUGGACUUAAAUGUAGAUUGACCCUCUUAGAAAUCAGUCUCCUUCGGGACAAUUUACAAGGUGCUGCAUGGGUGUCGUCAGCUCGUGCCGUGAUGUGUCGGGGUAAGUCCCAUAACGAGCGCAACCCCUAUCGUUAGUUGCCAGCGAGUCAAGUCGGGGACUCUAACGAGACUGCCGGUGUAAACCGCGGGGAAGUUGGGGAUGACGUCAAAUCAGCACGGCCCUUACGUCCAGGGCUACACACGUGUUACAAUGGCCGAUACAAAGGGCAGCUACCAGGUGACUGGAUGCUAAUCUCGAAAGUCGGUCUUAGUUCGGAUCGAAGUCUGCAACUCGACUUCGUGAAGCUGGAUUCGCUAGUAAUCGUAGAUCAGCAAUGCUACGGUGAAUACGUUCCCGGGCCUUGUACACACCGCCCGUCAAGCCAUGGAAGCUGGGGGUACCUGAAGUCUGUCACCGCAAGGAGCGGCCUAGGGUAAAACUGGUAACUGGUGUU